AAAAAAAAAAAAAAAAAAAAAAAAAAAAAAUUAGCAUUAUUUUUGGUGCAAAAGUACUUUAACAUCUUAAAUACUCAUAUAAUGGAAGAUACUGGAAGAUACUUUUAACUCUUAGAAAGAAUGAGUUAACUCCUUAUCUUCUAUAAAGGUAUCCUAAUAUCUUUGUACCCGAAGUGGUAUCUGAGGCAAAUUGUUACAUUAAAAAAGGAAAAUGCUUUAUAAUAAAAAAGGAAACGUUACAUAGUAGCCCUUGCUUACCUGCAGGAGAUGUGUUCUAAGACCCGUAGUGGAUGUCUGAAAGUGUGGAUAGUAUUGACCCAAUUGCUGUCAAUCAGAACACACUUCUGCUUGUUUUCCAAGCACAAAUUUAAUUUUUUUUUUAAUCUUAACUAAGCACUUACCACACAUGUGGCUGUACCUUGAGCUUGGUGUUCAACGAACAAGACUAGCAGAAAUUUAUUUUUCCUCCUUACACUGUCACACCUAGAAGAUUUGUUCUUACCAUAGAUCUUAGCAACCUCAGCACACGACUUAUUUUCCUUAUUCAGUCAAGAAUUUUCACAUUUUGACUUAAAGAAAACACUUUAGGGCUCCUGUUCUGCAUAUCUAAAUUGGCAGCAUCACUACUCUUGCAUUUUAGGGCCAUCAUUAGGUAAAAAUCAGAGUCACUUAAACACAAGCACUGUGAUACUGCGGCAGUCAUUCUGAUAACCAAGUUGGCUACUCACCGACUAUGGGUAGCGCAUACAGCAUGCAUCUGCUGAACAAAGGGAUUGUUCAUAUCCCAGGCAGAACAAAGCAGGACAGUGAGAUAUCUCAUCAGGCUACUCAGAACAGCCCACAAUUUAAAGCUUAUGAACUGUUUCUUUCGGGAAUCUUGCAUUUAAUAUUUUCAGACGACAAUUUACUGUGGGUAACUGAAACUGUGGCAAGUAGAACCAUGGAUAAAGGGGGACUACUGUAUAUGCUUCUGUGUGUGUGCAAAUACAUGAAUCGUGGAGAAUAUCAUGGGAAGAUGCUCAUCAUCUUGUUAACUCGUUAUUUCAAGAGUGGAACUGGAGGGGGAAUAAUGCCUUUCCUUUAUAUUUAUUUGUAAUAUUUCAUUUUCAUUAUGAACAUGUGUUAUUUUAUUAUUUUUUAAUAAUAAAGACAGGCAAAAAACAUAUAUGUAAUUUUAAUUCAAGCCGAAAUCUUCAAGGCAAUCAUAUAUAAUUAAAUAGAUAAAGCAAAGAGAACAUUUUAAAUUCCUGAAGGGAAAGAGGAAAAGCACAAUGUAAAAACCAAGUGAGUCUAAAAGCAGCAAUGUAUCAUAAUGCCUAAAUUCGUGGGACCAAUUCCAAUCCAGUCCAAGAAAGCAGACACUGGCGACCAACAUUCCCUUUCAGGCCCCUGCAGGGUCAAGAGAGUGCUCCUGGAAUAGAUUGAGAAACUCGAGCAGGCUAAGUGAGGUGCCAGGAAUAAAGACACCGCCUGACACAUUCUCCACUCUCCCUUCACCCGCUCCUCUCCCCACCGCGCUUCCAUCAGUCUCCAACUCUGCCCUCUUCCCAAGAGCCUCAGAUUGAAACCUUGCAAGGAAGACACCGAUUCUCAGUCACAGGCUUGGUAAUCUGAGCGGCAAAGGUACAUGAUCUCGUGCUUCCCCUACUCCCCGCUACUCCCCUUGCCACUGCUGCCUAGCACCUGCCCCCUCCUCCAUAAUUUGAACUGUCCUCCCAGGACUUGGAGGCGGGUCGGCCCAAGCGCUUCUUAAUGCCCAAUAUGGAGCAAACCUCCCCUAUCUUGCACGUCCAUUGGCUAAAAGAUCUGUCUACUUAAGUGUGACUGCCACUUUCCCUUCUUUCUGUGUUGCCUGGAUACAGACUGUCUGCCUAUUAACAACUGGUCGCGUUUCCCAUUGGUCACCGUUUUCGGAAGCCCGCCCCCAAGUAUCCAGGAGCCCAGCGCACGCUGGGUCUGCAGGCGCCAUCCAGGCGCACAGCGGGAAUCGUGGCUCAGCAACUUUGGGGUGUGCGGCCGAGCGUCUGCCAAACAUGGGACGCUGGAGGGUCAGCGUCGGGGAGUCCUGGCCUUCAGUCGGCCAUCGCCACGGCAGAAACUGGGGCCCAGGCUGCGUCCAGGCCCUUCCCUGGCCGUCCACAGGUCUCAUGGGCGCCCGGACUGGGGCUGAUGUAGUUUCACGACCUCUGACCCAUAGGAUCUAGAGAUUAAAGGUAUAAAAACGGGGACUUUUCAGCCCACUCAGAGCAAAUACCCACCAGAAUGGAUAACUUGGAUGUGGAAUGUCCAGAUUUUGGAUGAAUCUCUCUAGAGGUUGAACAGGACAUGAGGCCACAGACUGCAGUGCCCGUGAACAGAGGAGCUAUGGGGAUGCAACUUUGAUACCUCCAUUCAAACACACACCCUGGUGCAUGUGCGCCUCUUCUGAUGCAGCACCCCAAUGGGUAAGCUCUGGGCUUUUCCACACAGUGGAUUAGGAGUGGAAACAUUCUGUCUGUUUCAUGCUUGAUGGUUUGGUUGUGACCUGAUGUCGUGGUGGUAAUAGAGGCAAUGAUCCCAGCAUCUUAGAACCGUUCAGCUUGGCCGGGCCCGGUGGCUCACGCCUGUAAUCCCAGCACUUUGGGAGGCUGAGGUGGGUGUAUAACCUGAGGUCAGGAGUUUGAGACUAGGCUGGCCAAUAUGGCAAAACCCCAUCUCUA